CAGCAGUAGCCGCGGUAAUACGUAGGUGGCAAGCGUUGUCCGGAAUUAUUGGGCGUAAAGGGCUCGCAGGCGGUUUCUUAAGUCUGAUGUGAAAGCCCCCGGCUCAACCGGGGAGGGUCAUCGGAAACUGGGAAACUUGAGUGCAGAGGAGGAGAGUGGAAUUCCACGUGUAGCGGUGAAAUGCGUAGAGAUGUGGAGGAACACCAGUGGCGAAGGCGACUCUCUGGUCUGUAACUGACGCUGAGGAGCGAAAGCGUGGGGAGCGAACAGGAUUAGAUACCCCAGUAGUCCCUGUCUCUUAUAC
rnacentral:rRNA from 1 species